rnacentral:rRNA from 1 species
AUUGAACGCUGGCGGCAGGCCUAACACAUGCAAGUCGAACGGUAACAGGAAGAAGCUUGCUUCUUUGCUGACGAGUGGCGGACGGGUGAGUAAUGUCUGGGAAACUGCCUGAUGGAGGGGGAUAACUACUGGAAACGGUAGCUAAUACCGCAUAACGUCGCAAGACCAAAGAGGGGGACCUUCGGGCCUCUUGCCAUCGGAUGUGCCCAGAUGGGAUUAGCUAGUAGGUGGGGUAACGGCUCACCUAGGCGACGAUCCCUAGCUGGUCUGAGAGGAUGACCAGCCACACUGGAACUGAGACACGGUCCAGACUCCUACGGGAGGCAGCAGUGGGGAAUAUUGCACAAUGGGCGUAAGCCUGAUGCAGCCAUGCCGCGUGUAUGAAGAAGGCCUUCGGGUUGUAAAGUACUUUCAGCGGGGAGGAAGGGAGUAAAGUUAAUACCUUUGCUCAUUGACGUUACCCGCAGAAGAAGCACCGGCUAACUCCGUG